GAAGCUGCAUUGUGUAGCCAGCCGGUUUAUCUUUUUAUGUUGUACAGUUUGUUAGUUUACCGUAAAUAUGUCUUGAUUUGUACUCAAGAGUGGAGCAAGGCCCUAUGGAACAGAGAUUGACGCAUCGUGAGCGAAGAACAGACGCGAUGGAUGGUUAGGCUGCUUGACUCUCGGCUGUACGACUCUCGGCAUGUUAGGACUGGCAAAGUUCCGAAUUUGUCGCGGUGUGGUGUACGCUUCUGUGCUCGUCAAGUGCCGUCAGAGCGCGGGGAUGUUUGAACGGAAUGUGUCCCUUCGUCUACAAAACUCUGCACGCUGCGGCAUCGAAGUCCUGUGUACGGGUGCACGUAUGCGCUUGGAUACGGGAUAGCCUGCCCUCAACGGAUGUUCUACAGUGUACGCACGCUGCGCGUACGCGUACGUAUGAGACUAGUUGCUGGUGUCCUACUGGAGUUGAGAAGAGAUCUGCUGCCUGCCAUGAGGCCAUGUCUCUCAAGUUACCGCAAUAUUGUUGCCUUCAAACCUGUCGAGACAAGGUUUCUUUACAUGGCCAUGGCGCUCAAGGAAGAAACCGAGACUGUAGACUGCCAACGUUCAUUCCUGUUCCGGCAAAGACGGGCCAGCAGUAACCAGCAGGAUUUUACAAAGUGAACUCAUCACAGCUUGAGCCACUCCAUGCCACAAGCAGUUGCUCCUCGAGCCACCGUGCAAAGGUUCCUUGGGGCACAAGUCCAACUCAGCGCCACAACCUUUCUUCUGCAGUUUUUCUACCUACUUAGCUAACCAGCAGCAAGUUUAUCCUUGCAAGGCAUGUGGGAACAGCUUUCACCAGGAAACAGUGCAAGACGAGUGGUCGAAGAAAAUAAAAUUGCUUCUGUGAUCUAAAGU